GGCCCGUUCGCCAAGUUGGCUAAGGCAACGGUUUGCAAAACCGUCAUCAUCGGUUCGAAUCCGGUACGGGCCU
rnacentral:tRNA from 1 species